rnacentral:misc_RNA from 1 species
GUAGCAUGCGUUAAUGACAUUGCACCAUCGAGCCGGUCAUGCCCCCGCGAACGAGGAGCAGGAACUACUCUCAGGCAUGAGUCAUUCUAGGCAACCGAAAUUCUAGGGACACAAUGGGGCAUAACCCCCCGUUCACCGCUUGGACUGCAUCCGAGAAAACAGGACAUGCCCGUGUCCAGCAUAAGUCUUGACACCGCUAACUGAGGCGGGACGCGCGCGUUUUUUUUGAAAACUCUCUGAACCACCCCAAAGGGGGCUGGAUGGAAGGAAUGAACUUGACACGCUAGUACCAGUUUUCACGAGGUAGCGGACACAGGAACCAGAACUGAAAACCACACCC